UACAGAGGGUGCGAGCGUUGUUCGGAAUUAUUGGGCGUAAAGGGCGCGGUAGGCGGCUUUGCAAGUGGGCGGGUGAAAUCCCUCGGCUUAAACCCGGAGGAACCUGCCUGCCAGACUGUGGAGGCUUGAGACCGGGAGAGGUGAGUGGAAUUCCCAGUGUAGCGGUGAAAUGCGUAGAUAUUGGGAGGAACACCAGUGGCGAAGGCGGCUCACUGGACCGGAACUGACGCUGAGGCGCGAAAGCGUAGGGAGCAAACGAGG
rnacentral:rRNA from 1 species